AGAAUCAACGCUGGCGGCGUGCCUAACACAUGCAAGUCGCACGAGAAAGUGGAGCAAUCCAUGAGUACAGUGGCGACCGGGUGAGUAACACGUGACCAAUCUACCUUCGAGUGGGGGAUAACUCCGGGAAACCGGGGCUAAUACCGCAUAACAUCUUUGGAAUGCAAAUUCCGUUGAUCAAAGGAGCAAUUCGCUUGAAGAGGAGGUCGCGGCUGAUUAGUUAGUUGGCGGGGUAAUGGCCCACCAAGACGAAGAUCGGUA
rnacentral:rRNA from 1 species